rnacentral:rRNA from 1 species
ACGGCUGAGUAACGCGUGGGAACGUACCCUGAACACUGGCAUAGCCCCGCGAAAGUGGGGGUAAUUCCAGAUAUGUCUUCGGAUGAAAGCUUUUGCGGUUCAGGAUCGGCCCGCGUUCUAUCAGGUUGUUGGUGGGGUAAAUGCCUACCAAGCCUAUGACGGAUAGCUGGUCUGAGAGGAUGAUCAGCCAGACUGGGACUGUGACACGGCCCAGACUCCUACGGGAGGCAGCAACUAGGAAUCGUGCGCAAUGGACGGAAGUCUGACGCCGCGACGCCGCGUGAUGGAUGAAGGUCUUAGGAUCGUAAACAUCUUUUCUGAGGGAACAAGUUCUGAGUGUACCUCAGGAAUAAGUGCCUGCUAACCACGUGCCAGAAGCAUCGGUAAUACGUGGGGCACAAGCGUUAUCCGGAUUUACUGGGCGUAAAGGGAUGCGUAGGCGUCUUUGUAAGUCUGGUGUCAAAUCUUUCGGCUUAACCGAAAAACUGCAUCAGAAACUAUAAAGAUAGAGUCGGGUAGAGAAGAGGGGAAUUCCUGGUGGAGCGGUUAAAUGCAUUGAUAUCAGGAGGAAUACCUAAUGCGAAGGCACCUCUUUGGACCCGUACUGACGCUAAGGCUCGAAAGCGUGGGUAGCAAAACGGAUUAGAUACCCGUGUAGUCCACGCUGUAAACGUUCCCUGCUAGAUGUUUGGUUGUUU